rnacentral:tRNA from 1 species
GCGGGGAUGGCGGAAUUGGUAGACGCACCAGACUUAGGAUCUGGCCCUUCACAGGUUGUGGGUUCAAGUCCCAUUUCCCGCACCA